AUUAGAGUGUCAUUGCGAGCAUCUUAAAUAGUAGAACAACAAAAAACGAGAGGCAAUAGGCGAUCCGUUCGUAUGGGCAUGAGUCGAGAUGGGUCGUUCGACGUUACGUGCUACUGAAACUAUGGUUCACUAAUUUAUUCGCAAAUUUGAGCUACGGCGGCGAAGCAUUUCACUUGAUAUUAAAACGACAAGGAGAGGUGCAGUGUGCACGCACAAGGAAAUAAAUGACGGGAGUGGGGAGGCCUCAUGUUGCACCUAUUUAUUUCAGAUGGAG
rnacentral:lncRNA from 1 species